rnacentral:rRNA from 1 species
CGGGAGGCAGCAGUGGGGAAUUUUGGACAAUGGGGGCAACCCUGAUCCAGCCAUGCCGCGUGAGUGAAGAAGGCCUUCGGGUUGUAAAGCUCUUUCAGACGGAAAGAAAUCGCCUUUUNUAAUACGAGAGGUGGAUGACGGUACUGUCAGAAGAAGCACCGGCUAACUACGUGCCAGCAGCCGCGGUAAUACGUAGGGUGCGAGCGUUAAUCGGAAUUACUGGGCGUAAAGCGUGCGCAGGCGGUUGUGUAAGACAGGUGUGAAAUCCCCGGGCUUAACCUGGGAACUGCGCUUGUGACUGCACGGCUAGAGUACGGCAGAGGGGGGUGGAAUUCCACGUGUAGCAGUGAAAUGCGUAGAUAUGUGGAGGAACACCGAUGGCGAAGGCAGCCCCCUGGGCCGAUACUGACGCUCAUGCACGAAAGCGUGGGGAGCAAACAGGAUUAGAUACCCUGGUAGUCCACGCCCUAAACGAUGUCAACUAAU